UGCAGGAAAGUCUGAAGGGCUGCCAAGGAAAAUAUGGAGGACCACACAGCCAGGAAGAAGAAAGUCACAGACUUUCCUAAGGCUCUCAGCAGAGGUCCGCAAGCUGAAGGUUUCACUCUGGAACAUUCUCCCCUAGGCAGUCACAGGGACAUUUCAGAAAGUCAUCACCUAAAACUCAGGUCUGGCUUACCCUGCCCCCCCCCCUUUCCCUGGUUGCUGCCUGCCCUGCUGGCUCUAGGCCCCGUCCCUCCCCUAAGACUUAGGGUAAGUAGAUGGGAGAAGGGCACGGGCUGUAGGGAAAGGGUGAGAAGUCCAGUGCAGGCCAGCAGACCACAGCAGGACCUCUGGCCCAGGGUACAGGCCCAAUCACCUGCCCUCCACCAGAGGGAGCUCCCAGGGCCACUCUACCAGGGCACACAAUGUGGGGGGAAACCACACAUGCCUUCAGCCCAGAGCCGCGUGCGGGUUCUCAGCAGCCUGCAGAGAGGAGGGUGGGAGGUGGCUCUGGGAAUUGCCCAUUCUUUGUCAUGGGUCUUAGCCCUGCCUGUGGAACCAGCUUUGCUCCCUGUGAUCCAGUAGAUUGGAGAUCCAGCACUGUAGAGUUCCCUGUGGAGUUUUCCAGGCUCCUGUGACACAAGUAGGCCACUGCCCCACCCCCCAUUUCAGGUAUACUGUGGAUAAUGAGUAGAAUUGAGGGUUCUAUAAUGGAUUAAGUCCCUCACUGGCUGAGGGACUGAGCAGCUUCUAUUUCUCUUGAAAACCUCAGCUGCCCCAUGGAUGGAGGGAGGAAAGGUGAGCAAAUGCAGUUAUUAUAUUCAGUGUGUGUUA